AUUGAACGCUGGCGGCAUGCUUUACACAUGCAAGUCGAACGGCAGCGCAGUCUUCGGCCUGUCUGCGGGUGGCGGAGGGGUGAAUAGUGCAUCGAAACGUCCCAAUUAGUGGUUGCUAGGGCGGCGAAGGAGGGAUUAUUACCGCAUACGCGCAUAGGGUCUACGCGGGAGAGCGGAGGGUCUCCGGACCUUGCGGCAGCGGAUGUCGGAUUAGCUAGUUGGUGGGGUAAAGGCUUACCAAGGCGACGAUCCGUAGCUGGUCUGAGAGGACGACCAGCCACACUGGGACUGAGACACGGCCCAGACUCCUACGGGAGGCAGCAGUGGGGAAUUUUGGACAAUGGGGGCAACCCUGAUCCAGCCAUGCCGCGUGCGUGAAGAAGGCCUUCGGGUUGUAAACCGCUUUUGUUCGGGAAGAAAUGCACUGGGCUAAUACCCCGGGGGGAUGACGGUACCGGAAGAAUAAGCACCGGCUAACUACGUG
rnacentral:rRNA from 1 species